GUUGGAGUAUAGGAUUGCUAGUGAUUUUUGCACAAUAAUUUUGUAUCCUGAGACUUUGUUGAAGUUGCUUAUCAGCUUAAGAAGCUUUUGGACCGAGACAAUGGAGUUCUCUACACAUAGGAUCAUGUCUUCUGAAAACAAAGAUACUUUGACA